UGUUGGGCUGCUUUGUGGAGUUUUACUGAUAAUUCUCCCGCUGCUGUAUCGCUACAGAAAAUCAAAAGAUUCAGUCUUCAUCAGAUCUCAGAGCACCAAUCAGGGCCCUGCUCCAGACCACAUGAUCAACCAGGAUGAAAUUCAAAACAUGCCAGAAUAUUCUACUCUCCUCCAUGGUGAUCGUUGUCUCUAUGAAACAAUCGGAGGGCCGGUAGAAGCAGGAAAUGGUGCCAGUAAUGAACCAGAAGAGAGCCUUUACUCAAACGUGGCUACAGAUCAAUAAAGACAUCCUCAUGGACAGAACCAAUGGAGCGGAUACACACAUGAAAAGCAACAUCCUUGUUUCAGCAAUUGAGUGUAUUUGCUGCUUUUGUGUAAAUAGCGCAGAGCCUUUUUUAAUAACGGCCUUUCUAGGAACAUGCUGAAGGCUUUGCAAUUCAACUGGAUACUUACUUUCUGUGUACUUAUAUUUAGUGUAAAACAUUGUACUAUAACCUUUUCUGUUACAUGUCUGAUUCAGAUCAUGUGGCUCUAACCUUGUUGUACAUUUGGUGAUAUCAGAGCCAGAUACUAAUAUAUGCAGUAUGGACACAUGCUUUAGCACUGUAGAUGCACACAGUGGACACACAUAUAUAUUAUUAAUAAAACCCAAAUGCAAUUAUACCUGCAUGUACUGUUCAGUGAAUGAUUCUUACUAGAUGCUACCACAGGGUGCCAACACAUGAUCUAAUGCCUUUAAUUUACCUGCAGAAGUAGUCUCUUGCCAAAGCCAAAACAUCUGCAGUCACAGCGCCACCAAUAGGUCAAACAAGAUGUUCAGGUUCAAAGGAACUGAAGCACACACCUUUUGUACACUGUAUUUGUUUUCUUUCAGAUUUUUGGUGCACAUUUUUUGUUUUGCAUUAAUAAAAAUAACUUGGAUUAA